GAUGAAGAACGUAGCGAAAUGCGAUACGUAAUGUGAAUUGCAGAAUUCAGUGAAUCAUCGAAUCUUUGAACGCAUAUUGCGCUCUCUGGUAUUCCGGAGAGCAUGCUUAUUUGAGUAUCAGUAAACACCUCAACUUCCAUAUCUUUUUUGAAAUGGGAGUUGGACUUGAGUGAUCCCAACGCUUUUCCUCACCGAAAAGUGGCGGGUUACUUGAAAUGCAGGUGCAGCUGGACUUUUCUCUGAGCUAUAAGCAUAUCUAUUUAGUCUGCCUAAAAAACAGAUUAUUACCUUUGCUGCAGCUAACAUAAAGGAGAUUAGCUCUUGUGCUGACUGAUGCAGGAUUCACAAAGACAGGCUUCGGCCGACUUUGUAAACUCGAUCUCAAAUCAAGUAAGACUACCCGCUGAACUUAAGCAUAUCAAUAAGCGGAGGA
rnacentral:misc_RNA from 1 species